rnacentral:snRNA from 1 species
AUUUCUAUCUGUGGUCUUUUAC